rnacentral:misc_RNA from 1 species
UGGCUCUCGCAUCGAUGAAGAACGCAGCGAAAUGCGAUAAGUAAUGUGAAUUGCAGAAUUCAGUGAAUCAUCGAAUCUUUGAACGCACCUUGCACUCCUUGGUAUUCCGAGGAGUAUGCCUGUUUGAGUGUCUUGUAAUCAUCAAUUCAACAUUGCUUUUGUGAUGUUGACUUGGAUUUGGGGACUGCUGGUCUUAACAGACUGGCUUCUCUUGAAUGCAUUAGUGGAAUCGAGUUACAAUGCUACGUGUAGUGUGAUAAUAUCUUCACUGCAUAGUUGUAAUGAAGUUCUGCUUCUAACAGUCCUUCGUUGGACAAUACUUGACCAUUUGACCUCAAAUCAGGUAGGACUACCCGCUGA